rnacentral:rRNA from 1 species
UCUAAAGGUGAAUGGGUAGUAGUAGUAGUUCUAGAAACCUAAAAUUUUUGGCGGUUUUUUAGGCUAGUCAGAGGAACCUGUCCUUUAAUAGAUAUUCCACUAUUUAGUUUAGCUUCCUUAAAUUGUAUGUAUACCGCCGUCGUAAAGUAAUUUUUAUAGAAAUUAUUGAGUAGUGGGUAUUUAAGGGAUGACAGGUCAAGGUGUAGCUGAUGGGGGAGGGUGAGAUGGGUUACAAUAAUAUAUUAUUAACGGAUAGCAAUUAGGCGAAAGUUUAAUGUUUGAAGGUGGAUUUGAAAGUAAGUUGGGAUUAGGAUGUUCGGUUGGUUAGAGCUCUGGGAAAUGU